UCCCAGAGUGCUAGGAUUACAGGUAUGAGCCACCGCGCCUGGCCGAUACCUUUUUUUUUUUAAUUCUCCUAGUGGAAUUGGAAGGAUCACAUUGUCAUCACUACUGUUAUUUCAUUAUUAACUCCCCCACCCACAGGUCCAGGAAGGGAAGACUGUGUUGGCAGGAAUUCAGAUAAAAAAGACCCAAGGUUUAGGCUGAUCUCAAAUUAGUGUGAGGCUCUAGUGUCACGGUGAAGUCUGUGACACUUAGAAAAGAAGACAGUGAUCCCUGGAGCCAACAUGGGUUCACCAAGACCAAGCACACCUUUUAGGUUCUCAACAGCUGGUGGAUAAAGAAAAUGAGCCAGCAGGGGGUGGAGAGGAAUCUGGUAUUUACUGAGCACCUACUGUGUGCUGGGCACAUCACACACAUGGCCUCACUUAAUCCACACAGGUUUGUGUUCCAGAUGUGACGAUCUCCAUUUUACGGAUGAGAAACUGAGUCUCUGGGAAGUUAAGUGACUUGCCCAAGAUCAGCUGAGCUGGGAUUCAAACCUGGAUCUGUCUGACCCUUUCUGCCAUGUCACACUGCCUCCUAAGACAUUAGACAGAGUCCCUCAGGACUCUUGAGGACGUGAGGGAUGGCCGUGAGGGCACAGCGGGGGCUCCCAUCUGGCUGAAUGACAGCCAUGGAAUAUUCUUAAAAUGCAACCAGGUCAGUCUUCGGAAGGUCUUUAGAGACCUUCCACCUGUUCUGAGCAAUCUGUGCCAAGGACCCAGAAGAGGACAUGGUGGGGACAGGCCUGGAACAGUAGGAGAUGGUAGAAAGCUCCAAGGGACAGAGAAAAGUUCAGAUAGCAGAAUCAGGUUUUAGAAAGAUUUCAACAGGUUGGAGUGACAAGGUGAAUUUAGCAUGAUGAACCAUCACAGGGAUAAAUGCUGGGGCCCAUCUUGACUACAGGAAAAAAUUGUGGAGGGGAACAGCAGCUCAUGAGAAAGAGAUUUAGGAGCUCCCGUGCCAGUGAGUUCAGAAUGCCUCGGCAGGCACAUUAAUAGAGGUGUGGCAUUUGGGAGGAGGGGGCCCACCCUCCAGCUUCAGUUUACUCUGUGCCCUGGGGCAGUUUCUGUUGUACUUGGUUGAAGAUCAGGUGCUAUUUUCUGUUUUUCAGUUUUCCCCCUUUCCUUUUGGGUUCUUAGGGGAGACAGAACCCUUCUGGAGUUUGACCCUUGGGUUCCAUGCAGAGCAGCCCCCAGAAUGACACUUUGGAAGGUGGGGAAGAGGCUGCAGAUUUUCUGAGCUUUUGUUUGAACAGCACAUGUUGGAUUUGAUCUUUAUGUGCACCUACCCUCAUUCAAGGGAGAGGAAAGUGUUGGUCCCUGAAUGUUCUGGACCUGGGAGGGGUCCUGGUCCCCUGGCACCGGCCAGGUGUAUCCGCCCGUUUUCCAGCUCUCUCCUUUCCUGCUUAUGGCCCGUCCUGGUGGUCAGUGACGGGUGGUGUCGGGGCCUGGCUGGGCUGGAGGCGGAGCAGGAGCAGGGAACCUUGCUCUGCUCACGUGGGGUCUGGAUCCCUGCUCGAGCUGGGGCGUCACCUGCCAAGCUGAAUCCGGCGCAGGAAGCGCCUGGCUGGGAGACGCGCUGUUUGAUUUGGAGGCUCUGUUCCACUCCGAAAUGCGCUUCUCCUGGCAGCUGCAAGGAAGUGAAGCUGUUGAGCUUCCCUCUCUUAUGCCAGAAUCACAGCCACUUUUUCCUGAGAAAGAAACAGGGCUGCAGACAGUUUUACUCAUUAAAUACUUUUUUUCCUCUUAAAUCUGUUUUUGUAAUUUUUUUUUUUUUUGCAGGAACGGAAAAGUAAAACGGAUGAUAUUGAAAUAAACAAGGCAUUUGUGAUGGGAAGGUUAAAGCAGAUUGUUGGGGGUGGGGAGGGGGCUGGAAACGCCCCACGUUCCUGCAUGCAGGCUGCUCAUAGCCUGUCGAGGACGGGAGCGAGAGAACGUGUUCGUGAGGCUGCCCAGCUCCCAGCCCAGAGGGGUCCACUUCUCCAGGUGUCUUGAGCUUCACUGAGAAGGGCGGUGGGGAAGGGAGCUGCCAUUUAUUAAGAGCCUACUAAGUGCUAGGCCUGUGAGCUCAUUUCAUCCUGCUAACAACCCUGGGUGGUAGAGCCCAUUUUACAGAUAAGGAAAGCAGAGGCUCGGAUGGAUUAAGGUCAGCAAUCAAUGACGUACAGAGCUAAGACUGGAACCUCGAUCCGUCUGACCUCAGAUGCCAUGCUCUUGCGGCUAUACUUUGUUCCCCCGAGCAGCUGUGUACCAAGCCAGGGGAUGUGGAAGGAGAAGGAGGAGCAAGACGGUGGUGAAGAGGCAUCAGCCAGCCCUGCAGAACGGGCAUCCUGCCUGGCGAGACUGAACAAGACACUGACCGCAUGCAUCUGGUGACUAGCAACAGUAACCUGAGAAUAUAGCCACCAUAUGGAGGUGGGAAAAACCUAGAAACAUCCCAGAAAAAUGGAGUUCCAGCCCCGAUCAAACUGUGCCUGAUGUCUGUUGCAUCUGGAGUAUUCGAGAUGGAGUCUUGUUAUGUUGCCCAGGCUGGAGUGCACU